rnacentral:ncRNA from 1 species
CAGAAUCAAUGGGGAAAAAAGACCCUGUUGAGCUUGACUCUAGUCUAACUUUGUGAAAUGACAUGAGGAGUGUAAGAUAUUUGGGAGCCCUCAGGUGUAGUUGAAAUACCACAACUUUUAACGUUACUUUAGUUAUUAUGUGAAUCAGAGGCCGGGCAUCGCCCUUCUUUUUUUAACCAAGGCCACUUCACGGGUCUAUCCAGGUGGAAGACAUUGUAAAGUGGGAAGUAUGGCUAGGGCGGCACAUCUGUUAAAAGAUAACGCAUGUGUCCUAAGAUAAGCUCAACGAUAACAUAAAUCUCGUGUGGAAAAAAAUGGGUAAAAGCACGUUUGAUUAUGAUUUCUAGUAUGAAUACGAACUGUGAAAGCAUGGCUUAUUAAUCCUUUAGACCUUUGGAAAUUGAAGCUAGAGGUGUCAGAAAAGUUACCAUAGGGAUAACUGGCUUGUGGCAGCCAAGUGUUCAAAGCGACAGUUCUUUUUGAUCCUUCAAUGUCAACUCUUCCUAUCAUUGUGAAGCAGAAUUCACCAAGUGUUGGAUUAUUCACCCAGCGUUGGAAUGUUCAACCAGCAAUAAGGAACGUGAGCUUGGGUUAGAGCAUCAUGAGACAGGUUAGUUUUACCCUACUGAUGAUAGCGACGCAAUAGUAAUCCAACCUAGUAAGAGAGGAACCGUUGAUUCGCACAAUUGGUCAUUGAGCUUUGUUGAAAAGCUAGUGGCGCCAAGCUACCGUGCUCUGGAUUAUGACUAAACUCCUCUAAGUCAGAAUUUAGGUUAGAAGCGACGCAUAUGCCGACAACCCGAUAGCAGACUACUAGUAGGGGCCUCAGGGUCCCCAAAGGCACGUGUUGUUGGCAAAGCCCUCAUGGUGGACAAGUCGUGCAGGCCGCCUUGAAUCACAAUUCCUACCCAGUGGUGGGUAGAAUCCUUUGUAGAUGACCUAAAUACGUGAAGGGGUGUUGUAAGUGAUAGAGUGGCCUUGCUGCCACGAUCCACUGAAGCCCUCUGUCGCUCCAAUUU